AUGGAAUAGAUAACCGCUGAAAGCAUCUAAGCGGGAAACUAACCUCAAAACAAGGCUUCGCUGAGGAUCGUGGAAGACUACCACGUUGAUAGGCCAGGUGUGGAAGUGGGGCGACCCAUGAAGCUUACUGGUACUAAUAAUCCGAUCGGCUUGAUCGUUUCUCA
rnacentral:rRNA from 1 species